rnacentral:misc_RNA from 1 species
UGGAAUUGGGGUACAAUUGGGAAGACACGUUAGGGCUGGAAAGAAAAAGGGGACAGAAGAAUUGACUCUUGUUUUCUCUGAAAUUCGCCGCUGCUGUCUCUACUUCACCAUAUUUGCGCUGAAGUUGGAAGUUGAGGGGAAGGGGAGCAAUUUGUUGUCAUAUCUCUUGUCCUGAGGUAGAAAAAUUGAAAAAAAAAAAAAAAUACAACUAAACUGGUUCUGAUACCAUCCUUCCCGUUGUCAACGAGAUCAUUAAAGACCUAAUGAAACACUUCAUUUACGUUUGCAAAUGGGACAGAAGGUCUUGAGGUUUCAAGAUGCGGCUGAGUAGUUGAAGAACAAAAAAGACAGCAGAAAUCCAUGCCCCUCGAUGAGGGGAAGAGUAGUACUAGAAUGUUACGUGGCUGA